rnacentral:rRNA from 1 species
UACGUAGGGCGCAAGCGUUAUCCGGAAUUAUUGGGCGUAAAGAGCUCGUAGGCGGUUUGUCGCGUCUGCCGUGAAAGUCCGGGGCUCAACCUCGGACUUGCGGUGGGUACGGGCAGACUAGAGUGUGGUAGGGGAGACUGGAAUUCCUGGUGUAGCGGUGAAAUGCGCAGAUAUCAGGAGGAACACCGAUGGCGAAGGCAGGUCUCUGGGCCACUACUGACGCUGAGAAGCGAAAGCAUGGGGAGCGAACAGG